rnacentral:rRNA from 1 species
CCUACGGGAGGCAGCAGUGGGGAAUAUUGCGCAAUGGGCGAAAGCCUGACGCAGCGACGCCGCGUGAGGGAUGAAGGUCUUCGGAUCGUAAACCUCUGUCAGCAGGGAAGAACGGUCACUGUGCUAAUCAGCAGUUAAUUGACGGUACCUGCAAAGGAAGCACCGGCUAACUCCGUGCCAGCAGCCGCGGUAAUACGGAGGGUGCGAGCGUUAAUCGGAAUUACUGGGCGUAAAGCGCUCGUAGGCGGUAUGUCAAGUCAAGGGUGAAAUCCCCGGGCUCAACGUGGGAACUGCCUUUGAAACUGGCAAGCUUGAGUGUGUGAGAGGAGAGUAGAAUUCCAGGUGUAGGAGUGAAAUCCGUAGAGAUCUGGAGGAACACCAGUGGCGAAGGCGACCACCUGGAAGAUAACUGACGCUGAGGAGCGAAAGCGUGGGUAGCAAACAGGAUUAGAUACCCGAGUAGUC